rnacentral:tRNA from 1 species
GUGGGAGAGGCUUAGUGGUUUGGCGUGAGAUUGCAACGUAUCUUGAUUUCGAAAGAACGGCGCCCAGAAUAAUAUCUUGAGGUCGUGGGUUCGAUUCCCACCUUCCACU